rnacentral:rRNA from 1 species
CCUACGUGAGGCAGCAGUGAGGAAUAUUGGUCAAUGGGCGGGAGCCUGAACCAGCCAAGUCGCGUGAAGGAAGAAGGUACUUAGUAUUGUAAACUUCUUUUGUCGGGGAACAAAGGCGGAGACGCGUCUCCGGAUGAGUGUACCCGAAGAAAAAGCAUCGGCUAACUCCGUGCCAGCAGCCGCGGUAAUACGGAGGAUGCGAGCGUUAUCCGGAUUUAUUGGGUUUAAAGGGAGCGUAGAUGGGUUGUUAAGUCAGUUGUGAAAGUUUGCGGCUCAACCGUAAAAUUGCAAUUGAUCAUGGCAGCCUUGAGUACAGUUGAGGUAGGCGGAAUUCGUGGUGUAGCGGUGAAAUGCUUAGAUAUCACGAAGAACUCCGAUUGCGAAGGCAGCUUACUAAACUGCCACUGACAUUGAUGCUCGAAAGUGUGGGUAUCAAACAGGAUUAGAUACCCUUGUAGUC